rnacentral:rRNA from 1 species
AUGGCGAAGGUGCACCCGAACCUGGCCGUGCCGUCUCUGGGGAUGGCGGCGGCGGCGGCGGCCCGCGACGACGAGCCGGUGACACUGACGGUGUGGCGCAAGUCGCUGCUCUUCAACUGCCGGGGGUUCACGGUGUUCGACGCCAGCGGCAACCUGGUGUACCGCGUGGACAUCUACGCGUCCGACUCCCGCGCCGAGGUGGUGCUCAUGGACGCCGCGGGGCGGCCGGUGCUCACCGUCCGCCGCAAGAAGGCCAUCAGCCUCAUGGGCGACCAGUGGCUGGUGUUCCCCGGCGAGGAGACGCGCGCGCCGCCGCUCUACGCGGUGAAGCGCACGCCGCAGUACAUGCGCGGCGGCGGCAAGUCGACGGCGCACGUGGCGGCGUGCGCGGGCGGCGCGCGGUACGAGGUGGAGGGGUCGUACGCGCGGCGGUGCUGCGCGGUGUACGACGAGCAGCGGCGCGCGGUGGUGGAGGUGCAGCCCAAGGAGGCGGUGGGCACGGACGUGUUCCGGAUGGUGGUGCGGCCGGCGGGCAUGGACGUGUCGCUGGCCAUGGCCGUCGUGCUCGCGCUGGACCAGAUGCUCGGGAGGCCGGGGCUGCUCAGGAGCUGGUCCUCGUAG